GGCCGGAUAGCUCAGUUGGUAGAGCACUUGAUUGAAAAUCAAGGGGUCACCAGUUCAAGUCUGGUCCCGGCCACCA
rnacentral:tRNA from 1 species